rnacentral:lncRNA from 1 species
AUGAAACCUCCCCUGCCGGGGGCCACCACAGUCCCUCUGCUGAAGCAUCUCACAGAAGGGGGCCAGGUAGCAGCCCAGCCCAGGAUAGCCCUGGUGGGCUGUAAGGGCGAGGCUGGGGGCAGGGGAGGGAGAAGAGGUGAUGCGAGUCAGCCUGAAGGGCCCAGGAACAUUUUAGAGGAGGCGACAUCUGAGACUAAAGGACAAAGAAAACCAGGCCAUGAAGGGGGAGAUAAAGGGAGUCCCAGGGAGCAGGACCAAUGUGAGCAAACCUCCACACAGGGCACGAGAGAACUCAGUGUCCUGGGGAGAGGCAGCAUGUAUGGCCAGAGCAUCUGUGAGAAGAGCAGAUGGUACAGCUGAGGCUGGACAGCGGGCCAGGGCAGAACCCGCCGGACCUUCAGGGCUGCACAGAGGAAAGAAAACACUAUUACUUAAGAAAAAUCGCGACAUCUUUGAGAAGUCCUGCGCUGGCUUUCCUCUAUCCAAUGAUGAUGCUGUUUCUGGUAUGCAGCAGAGGAGUACUGUCAGUUAAAAAUUAAGCAACAAAACAAAACUCAGACCAUGUGAGGGUCACGCUGUUUAAGAAAGCAGUCAAGGGGCUGGCCCCGUGGCCGAGUGGUUAAGUUCACGUGCUCCGCUGCAGGCGGCCCAGUGUUUCAUUGGUUCGAAUCCUGGGCGCGGACAUGGCACUGCUCAUCAAACCACGCUGAGGCGGCGUCCCACAGGCCACAACUAGAAGGAC